UUACUUACCUGGCAGUGGAGAUACCAUGAUCACAAAGGUGGUUUUCCCAUGGUGAGGCUUAUCCAUUGCACUCUGGAUGUGCUGACCCCUGUGAUUUCCCCAAAUGUGGGAAACUCGACUGCAUAAGUUGUGGUAGUGGGGGACUGUGUUUGCACACUCCCCUG
rnacentral:snRNA from 1 species